GCCAACCUCCGGGGGGCCGCAGUGGGGGAUCUUGCACAAUGGGGGCAACCCUGAUGCCGCAACGCCGCGUGAGGGAAGAAGGUCUUCGGAUUGUAAACCUUUGUUUUUGGUGACGAAAGAAAUGACGGUAGCCAAAGAGGAAGCUCCGGCUAACUACGUGCCGGCAGCCGCGGUAAUACGUAGGGAGCGAGCGUUGUCCGGAAUUACUGGGUGUAAAGGGUGCGCAGGCGGGACAUUAAGUUGG
rnacentral:rRNA from 1 species